CCACACUGCAGCAAGACAUAAGAGUGUCUGUUUGCCUAAUGUUAAAUAACGAUGAAGUGACUGCGAUGCGUUUCUGUGUAUAAGAGGCCCAUUAACUGGUAGCUGUUCAUUCCCUGAAGAUUUGAUAACCUUUUGAAUUUCCAGCAAAUAGAUUAAAAAUAAAUCAGUUUACUUUGUUCUAUUAAAAGCUUUGUUGAAGUAUUUCGCAAUUGCGUAACAUCGGCUUAUUGAAAAACUCUGAGAGAAAACAGUUUGAACAACCCUUUACUAACGUAUGUAUUUUUAUCUAAGCUGUGCAUUGCCCUAACCCCAGCGUGGCUCUUACAUGUAACAAAGACAGAAUUACUGCUGGUGCGUGCUGUAAUAAUUAACUGCAAGAGAAAGCUGUGAAAGACCUGGAUUGGUGGGGAUGUCGAUGCUUCUCAUUAUGCAUGCAUGUGUGCUUGUUUUCCUCCGCCUAGCCCCAGUAUUAGCACACUAAUACAGCGUCUCGUUUGGGUAAAUCGCUGCUUCCCAGUUAAUGACAUGUGAACCCUGGUGUCUCGACAGCGAGGGGGAUUCAGAAACAGACUCUGAAGUGGAGGAGCGCGUUGAUGGGGUCAAGUCCUGGCUGUCGAAGAACAAAGGCUCAUCAAAAACUCUCUCGGAUGACGGCAGCUUAAAGAGUUCCAGAUAUGCCCUAAAUGUAGACGCCAAAGAGGGCAAAGAGUUGAAGGAGGACAAGGAAUGGAAAGAAAGUAAGAGAGAGGGGAAGGAGGUAGAGGAGAGCAGGCCAGUCUCUGUAAUGAGUUCUCUCAGCUAUAGAAAACGCUCCAACCUCAAAGAUUCGAUAGGGGGCAAAGGGGACGAGAGCUCUCUGUUCAGCGCCCUGAAGGAGCGUUCCGAUUCCCCAGACAGGUCGUUCCGCAGAUCCAAGCGGAGUGCCACCGCCACAGACAACCAGGACAACGACGCAAAUUCCGUGAGCUCCUGGAAGAAAUCCCAAACCGGGGACGACCCGGAUGAUCGGGGCUCCGUUAUAUCGCAGGCCUACUCAGAGGCCACCAGCAGAGCCCGUAAAGGGUUAGAUAGGAGGUGGUCCAUAGUCAGCCCCGACUUCGAUAAGGAAUCCACCGUCUCUGUCCCGCUCAGUCGAGCCUCCUCCAGGCGAGGUCUAGAUGUGGAUGAUGAUUCCAAGUCCUCUAUUAAUUUCGCCCUGGCCAGUCCGGUCAGCUCGAGACGCAGCAUGUCCAGGCUUGACGAUAGUCGCAGUGACGUGUUCGGACCCACCAGCCCCUCGGUUACUCGGAGGUCUGAAUUCGGCUCCCGCAGCCCGACCACCGGGAGCCGCGCUGACUCCAGGUUAUCCCUCUCCAAGAGCAGAAUGAGCGAGUUCGAUGACGACUCCAUGAGCAUUGCCUUCAGCGAGGCCAGGUCUUCCGCUUACAGUCCGCAUUCUGUGGGCCGGAGCUUCUCUGUGCCCCCCAGACCCAGGACGGCCGGCUCGGACGACACCCAGGCCGGCAGCACAGAUGUCAAGCCGGUUGCUCACAGGAACUACCUGGACCCGGCUCUGGAGGCCGCCAUCAACGAGGUCCUGAACUACAAACCCAUCAAGUUCAAGAGGCAGAGCUUGGAGCCGGACUCUGAGGAAGUGGAGGAGGACAAGCAGGACGACGAAGACGACAAGAAGAGCGUCCGAAGCAUGACGAGCCUCCAGCUGGCAGGGGAGAGCCGCGCCUCCUCUUCCUCGAGCCUGCGAAGAUCGGUCUCCGCCAUGGACUGCUCCCGGCCGCUGAGCAGCUGCAGCACGCGGAGCUCCAGGAGCAGCAGGAGGGGCAAGAAGAAGAGCAGGGGCUCCCGGUCUCAGAGCUCCUCGGAGGACGAGCGCAGGAAGAAGGGCUCCAAGAGGAAAUCCAAGAAGACCAAAAAGAAGUCCAAGAGAAGGGAAACGGAUUCUGAGUCCUCCUCCUCUUCAGAAUCCUCCUCCUCCUCCUCCUCCUCCUCCUCCUCCUCGGGCGGGUCCACUGUUUCGUACCGGAGCUCCAGCAGCAUCAAAAAAGCCCCGAGAAAGCGAAUCUCAGGCUCCGAGGACGAGGGCCCCGAAGCGGAUAACAACGCAGGCGACAGACCCGUUUCAAAGAAAGACGAGAAGAAGAGAAAGAAGAAAGUGGACAGCCUGGUGAUGAAGUACCUUUACAGACCCGAGAGCGACUAACACAAAAAAAAAAAAAGAAAAGGAAACGCAGUAGGUGUUGUCGGAAGCUGGUGUGCAGCAUGCCCCCCGUCCUAUCGCAGACACACCUUAUACAAAUCAGACGAGGAGGACGAGCAGGGCCCCCGCAGCAACUAUCGCUCCCGAUACUCACAAAGGAGCUUCCUGAACGAGAGUGACGGGGACGCCAAGCCUUCCGAAACCACUGCGUAAGAGCGGAUAGCGGCCCAAAGCAAGACCACUGGCGCCUGCAGAGAACCAGCACGAUGUUCCACUGCUCGCUGCUCUCAAAAGCACCCCAUUCAGUAAAACAAAGACAGAAACAUAACUUAAACCAAAUGUUUUUUUUUUUUUUUUUUUUUUUUGCUUUGUCAUUUGUAAUGAUUACUCUGCAGCGGAGAAGUUACUGUAUUGUUAUUGGGAAUUGCAGCUAGCUGCACUAGGUACUGAACGUUGAUUCUUGCAUGGCCAUUGGAGAAUCUUGUACUGGCGAGGUUUUGAACUUGAGCACAGGUGUUUUGGUGCACCUGGUUCGCUGGACUGAUGCCCUCACCCCCGGUUUUUGGCGCGCUGCACUCUGGAGAUGCAUGCUCUGAAUAGUAGUCGUAGUUUUUGCCCUUUCUCUCGUUUGCUGAGGGGUUACAGCCUUUAUAACACAGUGAGUGCUGAAGCUUGUCCCGUCGAUCAGGCAGUCUGUGUUGCUGAGCUUCUACUACACCGAGCCAAAGAGCUGUUUGCAUUCAUUGACGGGGAAUUUUGUUAAAUAUGUGCUCUAUAAAAAAGAAUCACAAUUGCAAGACUUUGGCUCAGUGUUAUUCUGUUUUUCACCCCUCAUCAGUUUGAGUUACACAUUUGUUCUGCUUUCUACAAGAGUAAUUAUUUGGUACAGGCUACCGGUGCCUGUAGUGUUUCUCACAUUUCUAACCCUUUCUUUGGAUGGAUACACUCUGCAUUGCAGCAGAUUGUCAGCUGUAUCGGUGAUAACCUUUUCUUUUGAUUAGAACAAAUGCUGUUUGUAUACAACGAGAUGAUAUCUGCGCCUUGCCUAAUUUAUAUUGCGCAAGAGUGCACAGGUAUAGACUGAAUUUAUUGAGCAUGCUUUUUUCAGCUCUGUGUGCCUGCAUUAGCUUAAAAGGUAUGAUCUUGCUUUACUACUUUUCUUUGCAUUCAAUAUUAUCCUUAAUAGCCGUGCAAAGACAGCGUUAGAUGGUCAUGCUUUUAUAGGGCAGUCUGUAAAGCGAAACACCAAGGGGAAAAGAUGAAUACUUAACAAUGUUCAAUAUUUGACAUUUACAUAACUAAUAUUUAGAUCUGUACAAUUCGUUCUAGCUACCAAAACAGUUUAGUUUAUUAACUUUUUCUUUAUUGUACUGUAUAUAGAAGCUGGUGGUCGUUUCAGAGGUUUUUUUCUGUGCAAAAGACGAACGCUAGAGCUGCAUUGAAAAUUGAAAAAAAAGGAAGGAAAUACUUUUUGUUUCUUUUAAAGAAUCUUUGUAUGCGUUUGCCUUUUCGUUCCGAAUCACCUCCUUUAAGGGAAGAGCUUUACUUUUUGUUCUAGAACUAGAAUUAUGCCCUGUGUUUUAAUAGCUUAAAGACCGAUACAACCCUCGGGUGCAACUACGGCCACUGAAACGGCACAGACAUCAACACUGCUACCUGGAACACAGCGCCCUCCUCGGAUUGAUUCAAUCCCACCCCGCUUCGUGCAGCCAACACUGAAUGGCAAGACUUCAGAAUACUGCCCCCGCCUGCCCCAUGCCAGUCAGUCUCUAUCAUUGAAUGGUAUUGCUAUGGAUCAAAAUGUCAUUCCCAUUCUAGUAUUUAAAAAUGAUCCAUCCGGUAUGCCUGUACAGAUUUAUAAAACUCACUCUAAGUGUCUACUUAAAACAGAGACUGAUUUGCAAUUUGAGUAAAACUGUUGCCUAUCUUUUUUAGUGAUUUUUUUUGUCAGUUUCUUGAGUCAGUGUUUCCUAACUGUAUUCCCCGGAGAGCACUGACGGCCCAGGUUUUGUGUUUUAACCAGGUCCUGAAUAUUUAUUACAAUUUACUUGUGCAUAAAAGACAACCCGGACAGCCUUUGGGACUUUAGACGUCCACAGUUUGCACCAGCACUCUACAACACAUGAAGAGUAAGAAUGUGUAACACCCUGGGCAGCUGGCGGUCCCCAGGGUCCAGUCUGGCCGAUGGCUGCAGGCUAUGAGCUGUUUCUCUUGACGUGCAUGGUGCUUUCGUCACAGUGUUUCUGCAAGCCCACUCUUCUCUCUCCACGCUCUGCAUGCUGAUGCCGUUCCUGCUAGCCCCUGCUCUGCACAGCGCGGGCACAGAACACCGAGAACACGCCUCAGCUGCGUUUCCUCUGCCCAAGCCCUGCCCAUUCUGGGCAUGGGAGUGAAGUUAGCAGCUGUCUUUUAAUAUCUGGCAUGUGCAGUGAGAGGGUGCUGUUAUCCAGCUGUACUGCUUACUCAGUCUGCAUUGAGAAAGUCUUGCAUUCACAGUUCAAAAGACCUGACAGGAGGUCUGCUAAUCAGCAGCGGUACACAAGGGGAUUCAGAGCAGUGGAGAUGCAGCUUUGGUUACUACAGUGUCUACCAUAUAAUAUAAUGAUUGCCUAGAUGAAAAAAAUUAAAAAAAAAAAAAAAAAAAAAAAAAACUCUGUCUUGCAUGUGACAGAAUGACCAGAGGGAAAAAAAAAUUAAAAUUAUAUAUAUAUAUAUAUAUAUAUAUACACACACACACACACACACACACACACACACGUGUGGUUAUUCCAGCUGUUCUGUCACAUGCAAUAUGUGUUUCCUAGUAUCACUCCUACCACAGCAUAAACACAUUGCUUUGGUUUGGUUUUUCUAGGUUGCUGUGGGCAGUGCCUAUAUUCUUUCUUAUUUCAAGGUCUCUGAGGCGUAAAGAACUGGUAAACCUUGCCUGAAUGAAAAGCAAUGGCUAUUGACUCUUACGUAUACUGUGGUAUUAUUGUAGAUGGUACUGUACGUGAAACCAUGUCAAUGUUCGCACCGAUGUACAAAUUUCUGCUGUGCAAAUAAGUCGAGCUGUUACGUGUGUAGCUCUAGCUUCGAGUGUAUGAAAAAGACAGAACAGCAAUACAAAAAAAAAAUGAACUAGUGAGUUGUAUUUCCAUUUUGAAAAGGAAAAAAAGUUUGGUUAAAAUGCAUUGUCUGUAAUUCUGUAAGAUUUUUUUGACUAUUUAUGAAAAUAAACUGUUGGGUUGUAUUUUAAA